UACGUAGGGGGCAAGCGUUAUCCGGAUUUACUGGGUGUAAAGGGAGCGUAGACGGCGAUGCAAGUCUGAAGUGGAAGCCCGGGGCUCAACCCCGGGACUGCUUUGGAAACUGUAUGGCUGGAGUGCUGGAGAGGCAAGCGGAAUUCCUAGUGUAGCGGUGAAAUGCGUAGAUAUUAGGAAGAACACCAGUGGCGAAGGCGGCUUGCUGGACAGUAACUGACGUUGAGGCUCGAAAGCGUGGGGAGCAAACAGG
rnacentral:rRNA from 1 species